GACGAACGCUGGCGGCGUGCUUAACACAUGCAAGUCGAACGGAAAGGCCCUGCUUUUGUGGGGUGCUCGAGUGGCGAACGGGUGAGUAACACGUGAGUAACCUGCCCUUGACUUUGGGAUAACUUCAGGAAACUGGGGCUAAUACCGGAUAGGAUCUCCUGCUGCAUGGUGGGGGUUGGAAAUUUUCGGCGGUUGGGGAUGGACUCGCGGCUUAUCAGCUUGUUGGUGGGGUUGUGGCUUACCAAGGCUUUGACGGGUAGCCGGCCUGAGAGGGUGACCGGCAAAAUUGGGACUGAGAUACGGCCCAGAAUCCAACGGGAGGCAGCAGUGGGGAAUAUUGCACAAUGGGCGGAAGCAUGAUGCAGCAACGCCGCGUGCGGGAUGACGGCCUUCGGGUUGUAAACAGCUUUCGCCUGUGACGAAGCGUGAGUGACGGUAAUGGGUAAAGAAGCACCGGCUAACUACGUG
rnacentral:rRNA from 1 species